AUUCGUCCGGCUGUGAAAAAACACCGAAGAUUUUUAUAGCGAGUGGAAAAAAGGUGUUUUAUUUUGACCACUCCGCUCAAAGAACCGGUGCCCGGUUCGACAUCCCCCCGCUUCUCAACACUAUAAAAAUCUUCGACACGAUAUGCCGAAGUCCCGGAACCUGUGACCACCGCCGGCAAGAGAUGCGCGGUAAGGGCGGCACGAGGAACCUUCGGAGUCACGUCACCAUCGAGAGCGAUCUUCGGAAAUAGUUGGAGUUAGGGCAAUGGCGGCGAAAGGAGGUGACAAGAUGGAGUCGAUGAGGCAUCAAUUUGCAGAAGAGGUUGAGACGAAGUGAUCACCCGUGGCCCAUAAAUCGAGCCAAAAGUGGUCGGGCACGGGUGUGAGACGGAGGUCAACAGGCAACCUCGCAACGGUGAGUCCUCGUCGGCUUCCAGUUGCUGACGUCGCCAAGUGUACCAACGGCCAGCAAAGCAUCUCUGGGACGCGCCGCGAUGACGUAGGCGUAAAACUUCGGCUUCGGCAAAGCAGCUGUUUUACGGGGGGGAGUGUUGCGACGAACGCGUCCCUCGUACGCCCCCUGUAUCACGUCAGUGUCAUUGUUUGUUAUUGUUUACGUGGUGCCCGUGCUGUCGCUUGGCAAUCAGUCAAAAGUUGAAAACUUCUUGAGCAAGCGGGAGCACGGGCGCAGCUCGGACAUCGAGGGAUUCGUCCGGCUGUGAAAAAACACCGAAGAUUUUUAUAGCGAGU